GCCCGAGUGGUGGAAUUGGUAGACACAAGGGACUUAAAAUCCCUCGCCUGUAAAGGCAUACCGGUUCGAGCCCGGUCUCGGGCA
rnacentral:tRNA from 1 species